UGGGGAAUUUUGGACAAUGGGCGCAAGCCUGAUCCAGCCAUUCCGCGUGCAGGACGAAGGCCUUCGGGUUGUAAACUGCUUUUGUACGGAACGAAAAGGCUCUGGCUAAUACCUGGGGCUCAUGACGGUACCGUAAGAAUAAGCACCGGCUAACUACGUGCCAGCAGCCGCGGUAAUACGUAGGGUGCAAGCGUUACUCGGAAUUACUGGGCGUAAAGCGUGCGUAGGCGGUCUGUUAAGUCUGCUGUGAAAUCCCCGGGCUCAACCUGGGAAUGGCAGUGGAAACUGGCGGGCUAGAGUACGGUAGAGGAUGGUGGAAUUCCCGGUGUAGCGGUGAAAUGCGUAGAGAUCGGGAGGAACACCAGUGGCGAAGGCGGCCAUCUGGACCAGUACUGACGCUGAGGCACGAAAGCGUGGGGAGCAAACA
rnacentral:rRNA from 1 species